rnacentral:rRNA from 1 species
AGAUUGAACGCUGGCGGCAUGCCUUACACAUGCAAGUCGAACGGCAGCACGGGAGCAAUCCUGGUGGCGAGUGGCGAACGGGUGAGUAAUACAUCGGAACGUGCCCAAUCGUGGGGGAUAACGCAGCGAAAGCUGUGCUAAUACCGCAUAAGAUCUACGGAUGAAAGCAGGGGAUCGCAAGACCUUGCGCGAAUGGAGCGGCCGAUGGCAGAGUUAGGUAGUUGGUGAGGUAAAGGCUCACCAAGCCUUCGAUCUGUAGCUGGUCUGAGAGGACGACCAGCCACACUGGGACUGGAGACACGGCCAGACCUCCGUACGGGAGGCAGCGAGUGGGGAUUUGGACAAGUAGGACGAAAGCCUGAUCCAGCCAGUCGCCG